rnacentral:rRNA from 1 species
UACGACUACAUAUCAGGCAUAUCAAUAAGCGGAGGAAAAGAAACUAACAAGGAUUCCCUUAGUAACGGCGAGUGAAGCGGGAAGAGCUCAAAUUUGAAAUCUUCAAGGUUUUACCUUGACGAAUUGUAGUUUAAAGAAGUGUUUUCUGUUGAAGUUUCGGUAAAAGUUCUUUGGAACAGGACAUCAUAGAGGGUGAGAAUCCCGUAUUUGACCGUUAUUUUCAGCUGUGUGAUACACUUUCAAAGAGUCGGAUUGCUUGGGAAUGCAGUCCAAAAUGGGUGGUAAAUUUCAUCUAAAGCUAAAUAUUGGCGAGAGACCGAUAGCGAACAAGUACCGUGAGGGAAAGAUGAAAAGAACUUUGAAAAGAGAGUUAAACAGUACGUGAAAUUGUCAAAAGGGAAGCGUUUGACACCAGUGUUGUUUUCUCGAAAAUCAAUUAAAAAAUGCUUGAUUUUGUGUUGUAUUGACCUUAAAAGCUUUCUUCACUUUUUUCAUGUCUUAUUUUAAUGCACUUUUCGUUUAACAAGUCAACAUCAGUUUCUUUUGUUGUAAAAAGGUCAUUGGAAGGUGGCUUUCUUUUCGGAGAAAGUGUUUAUAGCCUUUGACUCCUGCAAUCGGAGAGACUGAGGUCUGCAGCGUAGAUCCUUCUUGGAUUAGAUUCAUUUGUGCUAAGUUAUAGCUUUUAUAGACAACUUGUUGACUAUAGUUUAGUCAUUGUAGCUUACUCGCUUAUGCAAUUUUACCUACGCUUAGGAUGUUGAACGCGCACAGAGUCUC